rnacentral:rRNA from 1 species
GACGAACGCUGGCGGCGUGCCUAAUACAUGCAAGUAGAACGCACAGUUUAUACCGUAGCUUGCUACACCAUAGACUGUGAGUUGCGAACGGGUGAGUAACGCGUAGGUAACCUGCCUGGUAGCGGGGGAUAACUAUUGGAAACGAUAGCUAAUACCGCAUAAUAUUAAUUAUUGCAUGAUAAUUAAUUGAAAGGUGCAAUUGCACCACUACCAGAUGGACCUGCGUUGUAUUAGCUAGUAGGUGAGGUAACGGCUCACCUAGGCGACGAUACAUAGCCGACCUGAGAGGGUGAUCGGCCACACUGGGACUGAGGCACGGCCCAGACUCCUACGGGAGGCAGCAGUAGGGAAUCUUCGGCAAUGGACGAAAGUCUGACCGAGCAACGCCGCGUGAGUGAAGAAGGUUUUCGGAUCGUAAAGCUCUGUUGUAAGAGAAGAACGGGUGUGAGAGUGGAAAGUUCACACUGUGACGGUAUCUUACCAGAAAGGGACGGCUAACUACGUG